CGCCCUCAGAGGGGGACGAACAUUGGAAACGACUGCUAAUACUGCAUACGAUCUAACCUCGGCAUCGAGGAUGGAUGAAAGGUGGCCUCUAUUUAUAAGCUAUCACUGAAGGAGGGGAUUGCGUCUGAUUAGCUAGUUGGAGGGGUAACGGCCCACCAAGGCGAUGAUCAGUAGCCGGUCUGAGAGGAUGAACGGCCACAUUGGGACUGAGACACGGCCCAG
rnacentral:rRNA from 1 species